GCUACCUCUCGUGAGGUGGCAGUAAGCCAGCCAAUGAUGUCUCAUGUGCAGCUCACAUGACCACGCAGUCUCAUUUGCUUGGAAACAUUGGGAAAAUGGCGGAAAACAGUACUGAUAGUUCGGCGCAGAAACAUCUGUAGGUUAAUGCUGCAAUGGAGAAAAGUGUACGACCUAAGUCGUCAAAAGUGUGGGAACACUUCACUUUAAACUCUGCAAAGAAGACCGUUUCCUGCGUGACACGGAAAUACUACAUCGCUUCGGGAGCACCUGAACAGGAAGCAUGUAGGAGCCAUGGAUGAAGAGAAGAACUCAAGAAAAAAACAAGCCAGCAUUAGCAACUUCGUACAAAAGAAGGUCUGCACACCACAGCAAGCGGCUGCAUUGACUUAUAGUGUCCUAAAUAUGUUGGUAACUGACAUGAGGCUACUAUUAAUGGUUGAGGAUGACGGUUUCAGAAAAAAUAUUUACGUCCUCAACCCUGGUUACACUCUUCCCUCGAGGACCCAUUCUACGAAACUGAUGGAGAGGAAGUAUGAGCAUACAUUUCAAGCUGUGAAAACUGACAUUAAAGCCACCCAGAGCAAAAGUGUAGCCAAUGAAGCCUACCUUGGCAAUACAUGCCACUACAUUGGAGACGAAUGGAACAUGAAGUCAAUCUGCCUUACGACCAUGCCACUAGAGGAAAGACAUUCAGCAUCCACCAUUGCAGAAUGGUUGGAAUAGGUUGUAGGCAGGUUUGAAAUUAUUGCUAUUGUGCAUGACAAUGGUGCACUUUAUAUAAAAAAAACAAAACAUUUUUCCAACACUUUCCUUGUUAUUGUUAUGUUUGGCAAGUCGAAAGGACAUGGUUUUUGUGUUGGUUGCAUUUUCUUUAUGCGCUUUAAGGAAGGAGGGUUGUUUGGAUUGGGCCAUAUAAAGUAAUACUGUACUGAAUUCAAAGCACAGCACAAAUUGGGUGCCUUAAUCCUAAACUAUUUAGUUUUUCGACAAGAUGAAGACAAACUUGCAGCCUUCAACUUGACAAACACUCCAUGUGCCGAAGUUCUUAUUAAACUCCAAUUAGACUCCUGACGUCUAGUAACCCGAAUUGAACAUUGCACCGCAGUUAUGAAACCCCUGGUAUAGAAGAUAGUAUGCCUACAAUUAUAUAUGAAAUGAACCUUUGAUUGAACUAGUUAACCUGACCCUGAACAGUGACUAAGCAGAUGUUUAAACCUUUGAGUAACAUUCGAGGUAGACGUAUGAUAUCCUUCGUUAAACAAACUAAUGAGGUGCAAAAGGAGGUGAAGCAAGGCCAGGGCUUUUUAAAAACACUAAUAGACUGAUUGUCAUGGCAACUGUGUUGAUGGUCAACACUUUGCUCAAGGGAAACUAGUGAAAGGCGCCAAUAAAGAGACAGAUAAGGUAAACAGUUAAAGAAAGCACUUACAGCCUGGACAGGACAGCCUAACCUUGUGAAACUCCCCCAACUCACUAUAAGUGGAGAGAGAAAUUGGCCUUUGGGAUUCUUGUCCCUCAAACGAUCCAGCAUGCGUUGGUGCCAUGUGUUGACAACCACCCAGGAAGGCUCUGUACGUGUAUGUCUUUGUGUUGAUGCAAUAAAUGUAACUGAUUGAAUAUAUCGAAACAA